rnacentral:rRNA from 1 species
UAGGGAAUCUUCCGCAAUGGACGCAAGUCUGACGGAGCAACGCCGCGUGAGUGAAGAAGGAUUUCGGUUCGUAAAACUCUGUUGUUAGAGAAGAACAGCGCAUAGAGUAACUGUUAUGCGUGUGACGGUAUCUAACCAGAAAGCCACGGCUAACUACGUGCCAGCAGCCGCGGUAAUACGUAGGUGGCAAGCGUUGUCCGGAUUUAUUGGGCGUAAAGCGAGCGCAGGCGGUCAAUUAAGUCUGAUGUGAAAGCCCCCGGCUCAACCGGGGAGGGUCAUUGGAGACUGGUUGACUUGAGUGCAGAAGAGGGGAGUGGAAUUCCAUGUGUAGCGGUGAAAUGCGUAGAUAUAUGGAGGAACACCAGUGGCGAAGGCGACUCUCUGGUCUGUAACUGACGCUGAGGUUCGAAAGCGUGGGUAGCAAACAGG